rnacentral:rRNA from 1 species
UCCUACGGGGCGCAGCAGUGAGGAAUAUUGGUCAAUGGGCGAGAGCCUGAACCAGCCAAGUCGCGUGAGGGAAGACGGUCCUAUGGAUUGUAAACCUCUUUUGCCGGGGAGCAAAAAGCGGUACGUGUACCGCAUCGGGAGUACCCGGAGAAAAAGCAUCGGCUAACUCCGUGCCAGCAGCCGCGGUAAUACGGAGGAUUCAAGCGUUAUCCGGAUUUAUUGGGUUUAAAGGGUGCGUAGGCGGUUCGAUAAGUUAGAGGUGAAAUCCCGGGGCUCAACUCCGGCACUGCCUCUGAUACUGUCGG